rnacentral:ncRNA from 1 species
GAACGCCGUGUGCGAGGAAACCCGCAUGCACGGUGUGAACCGGGGGAAAAGGAGCCUGGAUGGGUAAUGCCAUCGGAGUAUCCUUACCUAUCGGUAU